CACUUUCUCCAAAAGUUGGAAAAUAAUAUAGCAUAUUAUCUUUGUCCACUUCUAAUAUAUAAUAAUAUACAUGUGAAUAAUUUGCAUAAAUUAACCCUUAAACAGUAUCUCUUAAAUUGAUCAAGAUAGAGGGAUCAAACCAACCUAGUUUCACAUUGUUAGACUAUCCCAACUUCAAAAAGCGAUUGUAUUUUUAUUUUUGCCACACCAUGUAAGUGGAGCCGGCCAAGAAGAAUGAAACUGACUGACUGACUAUGUUAUAGUAAGCCUAAAAUAAAACUUUAUAAUGCAAACAUUACUGGUGGAUUUGCAAAGUAUGCAUCUGUGCAUGAUUUUUGUGGUAAUAUAGGCUAGAUCAAAACCCCUUGGGCAGUAAAAGAGUAGGAGUUUCCACGAUUCUCUCGUCUUUCACUUGACGAAAAAUCUGUUAUCGUCACCUAUAUUGAUAGUUAUUGUAUCGAUGUCAUUCACGAAUAAAACGCUUUUGCGCCAUGAUAUAGCUUUGGCUGUGUUAAGUUCAAGUAGUAAGUAAGAUACUAGUAUGCCUAUUACUGGAUAAUAAGCUUUAAAAAAGGCCUGUGGCAAAAGCCAUACAUUUCAUAGAUACUAUUUGUGGUGGAGGUAAACUUAACAAAAAACUAAAUAUUCACACUUGGCGUGAUGUUAAUGCAUAAAAUUAUCUAAUGUCAAGAUGCUACCACCCCUUUACUAACACACAGCACCGUGGUGUAGCAGUUAAAGACACAACCACUCACAUGGCAGACUUGGGUUUGAAUCCAGUGAGGGUUACAAUGUUAAUCACUUAUAAUUGCAGGCCGGCUGAACUAGGCUUGCCUGGUUCCUUUUUUUGGUUUAACAGUUAAAACAUGCCCCAGCAACUUUACUUGCAAUUAAAAUAUAUUUUACAUUAAUCAUUACAAAUUUAAAGAAGCUUUAAUUAAAGUUGAAAUACAGACCGCAAAUUUAAUUAAACCGGUGUGCUGAUCUGGAAGUCACAUCCCACAAGUUUACUGUAGACAGAAUGGACUUGAAGAUCUAAUAACUUCUUAAUAAUAAAACAUCUAGAAGAUAAGGCUAACUAAUGAACAAUGUAGCUAAAAUGUUCACCAAGUUACGUAGCACAACUGCAUUGGAAACUUGCAGUCACGCCCAGUUAAAUGACAUUUGUUAGAGUUCCACCACACAAAAACAGAAAAGUGAUGAUUAUAUUUCAGAGGGUAUUGUGGUAAAAUUUUAUUUAAGAUUGAGAGCUUGACAACUAGCUUUUUACGGUCACAUCUUCAAGCUCAGUAUCCUGUGUCCCCCUGAUGAUUUCCACUUGUUUAUUUUGCUCCGGGUGUUGUGUAAUCCUUUCAUUUUAGGAUUAUAACAUAGCUAAUGAAGGUUUUAGCCAGCAAAGUUUUUGUUUUUUGUCAUUUGUUUCUCUUUCAUGAAUGACAUUGAUACAAUAACUGACUCUCGUCAAGUGAAGACAAGAGAAUCGUGGAAACCCCAACUCUUUUACUGCCCAAGGGGUUUUGAUAAAGCCUAUAUUAUUACCCAUAAAAGCAUGCACAGAUGCGUACCUUUGAAAAUCCACCAGAAACAGUCACAAUAUAACCGUAAACAGUUUUAGUUUAGGCUUACAAUAAUGUAGCUAAUGAAUGUUGCAUGUAGCCAGCUACAUUUGUCUGUCCAGACCCAAAAAGCAUGCUUGGAUGUGUACUUUGAAAAUCCCCAAGAAAUAGUCACAAUACUGUAUAACAAUAAACAGUUUUUGUUUAGGCUUACUAUAACUUAGAUCCUGAAUGUAGUAGCCAGCUAAGUUUGUCUGUCCUGACACAAAAAGCAUUCACGGUUGUGUACUUUGAAAAUCUACCAGAAACAGUUGCAAUAUAUGUAAUGCUUCUAGUUGGUGUCGUGUUGGCAAGGAACCAGGCGCAGGCAUAUAUCACAUUCAUGGGUUUAAUAACCAUACAAACAAACUGAACACGAACGGAAAACUCUACAAACGACUGAAUUAAAUAAAAGUGCACAACAUGAGUCUUAACAGGCAAUUUUCAGACAGUACAAACACGCAACACACACCAAUAAACGAACAGACAGCAACAACGAUCCACAAUGUGGGGAGCAGAGGGGAAACAUUUAAACACAUACAAACGAUACAAAUUGGGACCUGGUGUGAAAGAUUGGAGACAUGGGACAGUCCGGGAUGUGUUCGUGUGAUAUGGGAACUUGAGAAUAUAUGGCACGGUGGCGCUGCUGUUCAACGCACCAUGACAAUAUAACCAUAAAUAGUGCAGAUAGUCAGCAAAGUUUCUGUCUAUCCGGAACAAAUCUAAAUGCAUACUUUGUUUUGACUGUGAGGAGAUUCGAUUAUGGGAUCUAUAGCUUGCAGGUCUACUUCUCAAACCACUACGCUAUUUAACAUGAUUGAGGACCAGGUGUGGGGCUGCAGCCACCAGAGAUCGUGUCUUGAUGAUUCUCCAACAGCUGGGUUUAAUUCUGCUUAAAACAUCGCCAGACAAAAUGCCAACAUGACACCCGGCUACACACUUUGGACAAUAAAGUGCCUGGACCAACAGAACUUCUAGCUUGACAGACCCAGGAUUGGGUUGUCUAUUAGUGUCUGGUAUUCUCCCUUUUGUGUCACAAAUUAAGUGUCACAGAACAUGCCCACAGCUUGCACGCAAGCAAGAGUGGAAAUCCAGACCCUGAUGUGAGGUGUAUCAUUACCUCUACACACCAGCAGCGUCUCACCCCGCAUCUGCUGGCUUGACUCUAAAGUCAAAGUCUCAGCCCUGGUUUGUCCCUGGAUGGGAGCUCCAUAAAAUGCUGAGAAAGUGAUAAUUGGUC
ensembl:lncRNA